CCUACGGGAGGCAGCAGUGAGGAAUAUUGGUCAAUGGGCGAGAGCCUGAACCAGCCAAGUAGCGUGCAGGAAGACUGCCCUAUGGGUUGUAAACUGCUUUUAUAGGGGAAUAAAGUGAGCCACGUGUGGCUUUUUGUAUGUACCCUAUGAAUAAGGACCGGCUAAUUCCGUGCCAGCAGCCGCGGUAAU
rnacentral:rRNA from 1 species